AUGAAUGAAACUGUCGAAAUUGGUACUCAUGAAUCAGAACCAGGAACCAAUUUUGUGAACAUUGAAGGUGUCGAAGCUGACAACUUCCAUCCUGCUUCGCCAAUGCUUGCUCAGAGUACUCAGUACGAGCCUUCUUCUUCUAAAGAUUUGACUACCACGGAUCAGAUUGUUCAGCCUGAACCUGCUGCUUGUAAAGAUCCAUUGGUGGAAAGCAUUUGCACUUUUCAAAAUCUCAAGUCUGAUGCUACAUCAUGUUCUGCAACAACCGCCUUAGAAAGACAAGAGACUUCUGUUGCCAAUGUUGUACCGUCGUCAAACAAUUCUACUUCUACACAUCCCCAAGAAUUAGUCUCUGCAGUCAUCGUUCCCACAACUGCAAUUGUCAUUCCCAACAUUGCUGCAGACCAAGUCAGGUCACAUUCUGUUCAAACUCAGAGAAGCAACAUGCCAAGUGAAGAUUCAUCAAUAAUGAAGUUUGUUGGUACUGAUGGUCAAGCGGAUAGUGCUUUUCUUCUACCUGUUACUAGUGCUCAUAAUGUGCUUGGACAUGGCAACCAAGGGGAUCAGCCAGAGAGUAAUGCAUUUGCUGUUCAACAUCCACAACAGGAUUCAUCCAAAGAUGUUUUGCAUGAAGUAGGUAAUACCGUUACUAUGGCACCAACUACUGAUGGAAUUCAAGAUAUUGCCUUCAUUGAUCCAAAAACAACAAAAUCUUCAUCUCAAAUAGAUGUUUCUGAUGCACAGAAAGCUACCAAGAAUCAUAGUUUCUCACACAAUCCUGCAUCAGAUGUUGUUCAACUACAACAUACAGACAAGACGACACUUGAAGAUGGCAUUUAG
rnacentral:rRNA from 1 species